ensembl:lncRNA
UGAAGAGAAGAGCAGCUCUGACACGGAGUUCAGUUUGGGAAUUGGCUGCUGGUGGCUCUUAGCAUCAGUGCUCAGCUGGGGGGAUGGCUUCAGGUGGGAUGAAUUGCUAAGGUCCAUUUAGAAGAAGCUGAAAGUGAAACUGUCUGAAAAUGAGAGUGAAGAAAACUGGCCUGCUUCUAUAAUUUCAACAGAAAGCACCCCAGGUAAACAAAAUGGCACACUUGUGCAAUCAGCAAUGAAGAAUUCUCCCUACUUAAAUGGCUGAAGUGAGACAAGUGGAGAGAGAAAGUACGGCUUUCUGUGAGAGCUGGGGAAAAAAUCACAACGUAAUUCCCCACGGCCUCCAGUUGCCUCAUGACCACGCUCCUAUCCUGCCCUGACCCUGUGCUGACGGACUCCUGAGAGCCUGCAGGGGCAGAGUGCUGCAUCACCCCAUUGCCACCUCUUUCCAAUGGGCAUCUGUCCACAUCAGUGGCUGCAGGAGAACCAUCAGCAAUCCUGGAGCAGCUCUUUGAGUUCCCCAGGCUGUGCUGCCAGGGAGUUUCAGCUUCUGGGAAAGGCCUCAGCAAGGAAAAGCAUUCUCAAAGUCAUCUAAUUGUUCAGGACAUACUGAGUAUCUGCACUUACAGAAAUCAUGUUCAGGUGGAGCUCCCUUGAAGGCAAGGCACCGGGAAGCCAAGAUGAGUUUUCAGAAACCGGUGGUGCCUUCCUACUGAUAGGACCGAAUCCCAGCACGGAGCCAUCGCCACAGGCAGGAGGAUGACAAACAGGAGGCACAACAGGUUGCACCAAAAAGAAGCAGCUUUUCAGUUCAGAGGAAAUAGCUGGUUAGUGCACACGGACAACUUCUCACUUCAGCUGUAUGGGCUUUCCAGCACCUCAAGAGAUCCCACAGUUUUUGUUUUGAUAAACAAGAUGCCAUCCACCAUCUGCCAUCUCCCAUUGCCUCUGUCAGGAAGAACAGUUUGGAGAAUUCUUCCAACUGGAAGAGUCUCAGCUGUCUCUGCGCUUCAACACUAUCCUUUCACAUAAUCUUCAAAGAUCUGUCCACAAGCUCUGAAAUGUUAGCAUGGAAAAGCAAAUAAAAAAAAAAGAGAGAGAGAGAGAGAGAGAGAGAUCUGACCUUGAAGAUUUAGGAUUGGUUUUGCUUUUAAAACUAAGGAAAAAAAAAUACCUGCAACAAAGCAGAAAAAUAGAAUUAUAACUUUCUUAUGAGUUACAAGCUGCAUCAUUUUUCCCAGGGCCUGACAGUCAGGCUUGUUUUUUCCUUCUCACACAACAGUACCAGGCAGAGAUCCCAUCAGCCAAAAGCCACUUCAAAUCCCCCAAGCAACCCUCUUUUCAGAGCAUUUCCUUUCAUGCACAUGAGAUGUAAGGAGAGCUCAGGAAGAUCCUCCGAUGAAAGCCUUCCUCCCAAGUCGUCGCCUUUGAAGAAGAGCCCCAGUGCCAGUGAAGCUCCACUGGAAUUUGCCCUUUCCCAUGAUUCACAAUGGGGAUGUGAUGCAAUUUCCGAGCCAUGCUCCCUCUGGAAUAUACCACACAGAGUCUGAGUUCAGGUGGGGCCGUGCAUCUUUCAGAACCGUUCACAUGGCUGACCCACAUGUUGAUAAUUUGCAGUGAGCCAGGUGGGAUUAUCUGUGGUAUAGUUGCAGCUGGUGGCAGCACAUCCAGUAGGAGAGCACCGUUACUGCUUCAGCAUUAACAAGAAAUGGUGCCAAAGGCUGGCUGUGAUCAUGUAAAUAGCUCAUGGAGGGGGGCCAUGAGGAUUAUGACUACCUGGUGCUGCAGAGUGGAUGCCACCUGAGAGAAGAUGCUCGUGCCCACAGGGGAGAGCGCUCGCUGCCAGCAUGGAUAUGGGGUCAGUGCAGCUCCUGCCCUGCACAGCAGAAUGUUGGACUGCAGGGCUGGCUGAGCUGCAGCCAGCUCCCAUUGCUGUGCGAGGCAAUGUUUAAAAAAUAGAAUCAACACAUCAAACUAUGUGUCAUGUAAGUUUUCCAUGUCAAGGAAAAUAGCCUGAGGCCCUUCUUCCCACAUUUGCCGCUACAACAGCCAGACAACCUGGCCCCAAAAUUUAUUCUGGUCUUUAAUCAGGAAAAAUCCCUGUGAUCUCUGAGGUUGGGCUUCACGGUUUUGGAAAGAGAUGAUGUGGUUCACUAAAAGGAAGGCGCUUGCCCACUGUUCUUGAGGUCUGUGGUCACUGUGAGAGUUGCACUCAUUGUGCACCACCUGCAGAAAAAGUGGAAAUGCUCUCAUUUGCCCUAGUCGUCUCUGUGCAGUAAACAUCCAGCGUAGCAGCUUCAGAGCCAUUACUCAUGCUAUGUUUCCCUCUGUAUACACAAAAGCAGAUGCUAUCCAGCACCCGGAUGACCCCAAGUUCUGCUUUCAUCCUGAGCUAGUUUUGUUUUAUUUUUUCUCCAUGCUCUUCAUGCUGAGGUUUACCUUUCCCCAUGAUUUUGUUGCCCCAAGAACAAAGCUGGCCCUCCACAAACCAUGCACAGUGAGGCUGUGUAGGAUGUGUGCAUACUCUUACUGUUGAUUUUAGUUUCCUAAUUUAGAGCACAAAUACAAUGUCCAAGUGGCCAGAGCGAGAUUACUCCUCCAUGCACAUCAUCCUUCCCUUUGCACCUCAGGUAGCCAUUGCACAUUUCCUUUGACUCGGACUACAGUGAGAGAUUGGUUUUGCCUUUAGGAUGGGGCAGCAGCACAGAGGUGCCAACUCAAGGUGUAGGACUAUCACAGGGCUCUCAGCACUCUGAGCCAUUCAUGGCUCUUGCAAGAUCACACCUUGCAGGAAAGAUAAACCCAGAUAUGAUCUUGGGUUUAAAACCCAAGCCCUAAACAGGCUUUGAGGCCAAUGCACAAUUUCUCAAGCAGGCAAUAUGGUUUUCUUGUAUAUAUAAUAAACCUCAGUCAUCGGGAUUGCUGUGAGCUGCCACAAUGCAUACUCUCCUGUGGUGCAGCCCUGGUCGCUCUCACUGAUGUGUGCUAUUUCUGAACUAAAGCAUAAGGUUUAUCAUCCCUGCUGUUCUACCCUGCAAGCAGGAGUAAAAAAGGUCGACUACUGUGUUCAGGCAGCAUCAAAUUACUGUAAAACAAGUGAGAUACUGCAGCGAUAUAUGGCGAGUCUCGGCAUCUUCACUUCUUUCAGGCUUGCAUUAUAAAUGGGUCACAAACUGUUGCUUUCAUAAUAGAAAGAUGAGCCAUCAACUCACUCAUCCCUUCCAAAUUAAUAUUCAGUGAGGAUUUGCAAAUGAAACUGUUUCAUACCUGGGCAUGCCACGGAGCACCUGGAGUGCUUUGUCUGAGCUAUGUAAUGGGGAGUUCGGUGUCGUAAAGCAAUUUACAGGCUGUCCUAGGGCUUCUUCUGAUAAAAACGAUGACAGUAUGCACAGCUAGGCAGAGGAUAAGUGUUACAAUGAAGUCUGGGCUGGACAUAGGAGAGAAAUUUGGCACUUCUAAUCAGUUUUUUUGUCUCCCAAACCCAAAGAUCUCUUACAUGUCACCCAAACCUGGCCACACAGAGUCACCAGGGUCAGGCUGCCGUUCUUCCACUGCUCACACCAAGCUCCAGGUUCAGCCAGGUUGUGCUUCCUCCAUCAGCACUGACCAAUAUCAGCACCAAUAUCUGCCCUUCUGUCAGAGGAGAAACACCUUUAUCUUCUCAGGCUGAAAGAGAGCCACUCAAUAGAUCUGCAUCUACAGACUGCAGCAGUCUUCUCAUCCAUCUGUCGAAAUGUGCAUACCUGGCUGCGUCGGAGGCCACAGAUACAGCACUCAGCUGGAGUUGACUGUGGUGAUGCUGGGAGAUGCUGUUGGAGCAGCCCCAUGGGGGCCCCCAGCCCUGACCUGUGCUCAUCGCGGCUGAUGGAGAUGCCUCGAGCAGGAGCUCACGUCUGGCGGAGCCCGGUGGCAAAUUGGAAGAGCUCUUCCCAGAGUGAGAAAGAAGCUAAUUUCUUACUAAUUAUUUGCCAAACAGCAUGUAAUUAAAUAGCGCAGAACUGUCGACAAUGCAUCUUUGGGUCUUUAGGCCAUAUUUUUCCUGUUCGUGGCACGCUCCUCCAGCGCUUCAAGGCUACUGCAUGCUGCAGAGCAGCGGAGGAGCAGAGUGAUAAUUGAACAAUUAACAAGUGAUGUCAUAAAACAUUGUGCUUAAAAUAAAAUGCGUAAUUAAAAUAACUGAAGCACAAAAAAAGAUGCAACGGCGUACAGAAAAAGCACACACACUAAAAAAAAUAAAAAAAAAAUCCUUGAGAAUAAGUAAGUCCCAUGUAGGAACUAAAAUAUGCCAUUUAAAGGGAAAAAAAUAGCACCAGAGUGGUUAAGCAAAGACGUGGAGUAAACUAGCAAGCAAUGAUGAUUUGCCAAAAACUAUACUAAUGUUGCAAAAGAAGUAUUCUCUGUAGUUAACAAGUUUGGGCCAUAAAACAGUCCUUCGGUGGCUCCCUGUGUCAUUAUUUGCUACCAAGACACUGUGCUGAUGGGCUCCUCGGGAUCCGGCGUUAGAUCAGUAAGCAGGAAAGCAGAGGUCCCCCCAGAUUUCCUGCCUGGAGAGCUGUUAGGAUCCGCGCUAGUUCUUUAAAGAGCAGAGCUGCGUACAGUGCUGCACUCAAAAUGACCCCGUUAGGAAUAUAAUCUGCUACAAAUGAGACGUUUGGAGGGAAAAAUAACACAGGAAAGCCAAAAGAAAAGAGAGAGAGAUUAAAAAAAAAAAAAAAAACAUUCCGGCUUGACUUCAGCUCAUCCUAACAAACGUGGUUUGUGAGGAGCCCCUAUCCUGCUCUUGGGAAGGCCAGAGAGGGAUUUAAGCAUCACCACCUCUCCAAGGCUGGGCUCAGGCUGCUGCUGCCCAGCAAGUGCCCAGCUGCAGUGCCUGUGCUCCUGUUCAUUCGCAGCAUGCACAGCCCU